rnacentral:rRNA from 1 species
GAUGAACGCUGGCGGCGUGCCUAAUACAUGCAAGUCGAGCGAACGGACGAGAAGCUUGCUUCUCUGAUGUUAGCGGCGGACGGGUGAGUAACACGUGGAUAACCUACCUAUAAGACUGGGAUAACUUCGGGAAACCGGAGCUAAUACCGGAUGAUAUUUUGAACCGCAUGGUUCAAAAGUGAAAGACGGUCUUGCUGUCACUUAUAGAUGGAUCCGCGCUGCAUUAGCUAGUUGGUAAGGUAACGGCUUACCAAGGCAACGAUGCAUAGCCGACCUGAGAGGGUGAUCGGCCACACUGGAACUGAGACACGGUCCAGACUCCUACGGGAGGCAGCAGUAGGGAAUCUUCCGCAAUGGGCGAAAGCUUGACGGAGCAACGCCGCGUGAGUGAUGAAGGUCUUCGGAUCGUAAAACUCUGUUAUUAGGGAAGAACAUAUGUGUAAGUAACUGUGCACAUCUUGACGGUACCUAAUCAGAAAGCCACGGCUAACUACGUG